rnacentral:rRNA from 1 species
UACGUAGGGGGCUAGCGUUGUCCGGAAUCAUUGGGCGUAAAGAGCGUGUAGGCGGUCCGGUAAGUCUGCUGUGAAAAUCCGGGGCUCAACCCCGGACUUGCAGUGGGUACGGGCAGGCUAGAGUGUGGUAGGGGAGACUGGAAUUCCUGGUGUAGCGGUGAAAUGCGCAGAUAUCAGGAGGAACACCGAUGGCGAAGGCAGGUCUCUGGGCCACUACUGACGCUGAGAAGCGAAAGCAUGGGGAGCGAACAGG